UUCUACAAUUUGCUUCAUUUUCUCUCCAGAGCAGAAGGAACUUACUGGUGUACAGACCCUCUUGACAUAAUCCCUUCUUUCAAAGGACCGAUUACAUUGUCACUUUCUGUUUCUCUCCUGACAACACCAUUCUUCAUGUUCCAGAUCGCUGCCCCAUCCCAGCUGUUAUGGAAGGCCUGUGACUUCUGAUGAUCUUGGUACCCAUUAUUAAUUGACCAUAAACUCAUGUUGAUUUGGGGAAAUUUCACUGACUGCUGUUUGACAAUGCUGCUUCUGAGAGG